UAUUUUUAAGGUGUCUAACCUGAUCAGUCCAAGCACACACAAUCUUCUCCUUCACCUGGUCAAGAAUUGUGCUUUCAACAUAUUUCACCAAAUCAGGAUACUUUUCACACACUUUCCUGAAAUGCAUAACAUAAUCGACAUAUAAUUAUUUUGUUGAAGAAUUUACUAUAUGAUUUCAUGCAUCCAUUAUUUUUUCCAUAAUCACACAUGCCUUCACCAU
rnacentral:lncRNA from 1 species